CAAUUGCGUAUAUUAAAGUUGUUGCGGUAAAAAAGCUCGUAGUUGGAUUUCUGUUGAGAGCGACCGGUCCAUACCAUGUAUGCGUAUCUGGCUUGCUCUCGGCAUCCUCUCGAUAGACGUUACUGCGCUUGAUUGCGUGGUGCGGAUCUCGGGACUUUUACUUUGAGGAAAUUAGAGUGUUCACGGCAGGCUUUCGCCAGAAUACAUUAGCAUGGAAUAAUACUAUAGGAUCUUGGUUCUAUUUUGUUGGUUUCUAGAAUUGAGAUAAUGAUUAAUAGGGACAAUUGGGGGCAUUCGUAUCAACACGUCAGAGGUGGAAUUCUUGGAUUGUGUUGCGACGAACUACUGCGAAAGCAUUUGCCAAGGAUGUUUUCAUUGA
rnacentral:rRNA from 1 species